rnacentral:lncRNA from 1 species
UACGUAUUACUUGUAACAAUAUUAUUCAACUCUAUGCACUAUCAGUGUAUCUGUAAACCUUGCUCAACCCACAACAGAGAUAAAAUACAUUACAAAUAAAUAAUUCCAAAGAUUACAUUGCAAUAAAUAAUUCAUUAGAUUACAUUGCAUGAUGCUAUUUAAUCAUCCAUCCAGUAACAACAGCGUGGUGAUUUGUCACAUUCACCUACGUCACAAUUACGUCAACGUGAUUUUAUCAAGAGUAAUGAUACAGCCACAAACUCUUGUACAAACUUAUUUUGUACAAACUGAUGUGGCAUGAUAAGAUUGGUUGAAUUAAAUAUCACUUGGCCCACAUGAUUUGUUUUUAUUAAUUUAUAUUUUUAUUCAACCAAUGAAUUAAUGCCACGUCAGUUUGUACAAAAUAAAUUUGUACAAGAGUUUGUGGCUGUAUCAUUACUCUUUUAUCAAACAAGAUUGUACAAACCGAUAACAUUUUGUAGAAAUAACAGCUUAUGUCGUGAUACAUGAUUUUGUGAGGCGACAUAAUUAGGCAGACAACGGAUUUGCAAGCUGCAAGCCGUGAUCCAGCCAUAAAGCUAUCGUAUCACAACCUGAAUCAAGCAGCCAUAAAAUAUGUAGGACUGGCUAUUAACUUGUUCAAAGCACGAGCCCUAACGGAACUAGCUGCAGUCCUACAUUAUUUCAGUCCUCCAGGUUGCAAGUUUGCAAAAGCAUCAUAAUUAACAUGAUCUAUGAACAUAUAGGCAAACGUCAUCUUGAUCUAUGAACAUAUAGGCAAACCUCCACUAGCUCCCAUGUCCAACCCCGCUCCUUCCUGGCUCAAUCAAGAAGCAAAAUGUUGUUUAUACAUAGGAGGCACAACAAAUAUCGUUUAAAGACACGAAAAUGUGAAUAAGAUCACAACAAAGUCAAGGCAUAACAAGCUAAUAACUGAAUUACACUGAAACUGGUCACUUGCAACAUUUAAAAAAACAGUGGCUAAGACCCAAAUAAAAGCAGUACAGUAAAAUUGUCUAGAUGUCUAUCAUCUGAAAUCCUGCAAAAUAUCAGAAAGCAGUACUGCAGGAUGAGAGAAGCUUCCUGAAAAUCUGUUAGCUGCAAAUAAGCGCUAUAGCAGGCAAAUAAUUAUGGGAUUAACUCCUGAAAAUUAAGCCUAUAUGACAUUCAUUUGACAGUUUUCUUUUUCCUCAACAUGCGACCAUUUCUCCCAUGUUCUUUUACUCUGGUGUUGGCUAGUAUUCAAAAUAGCAAGCCACUCUCAAUAUGUUUUAGGGGAUUUUGUAAAUGAAGAAAGUAAAGUGGGAAAGACAAGCAACAAGAACAAUUCAAUUUUUUUUUUUUGAAAAUCUCACUAUAUAUUCCAAAGGAAAUUAAAGUACAUACAUAAUAAGCAUGAAAAAAAUGUCUAUCUUGGCUUACGUUAAAUCAAAUUAAUGGCAUAAUUUGAUUCCACCGUAUUUUGAAAAGGAAAAACUUUUAAGUCGCUCAAAUUCCUCAGCCAAUAUCUACCUUUUCUGUUAAAUUGAGACAAGAAAGAUAUUGCUGGCAGGACCAGGGCGGACAAAUUAAGACCUGAAAUGGGCACAGAAGCAACUCAAAUCAAUCUGCUCUACAGUGCUACAGAACAUUACCCCACACACCCCAAAUAAGAAAAACGAAAACCGAAAAGAUAAGAGGAGGAGGAGGCGUGGUGAGGUGGGGAAGAAAACAGGAAUAUGAAUGCAAAAAAUUUUACUAAAUCAAAAAGAGGAGAGCUAAAAUGAAAGAAAGAGUUGAAAUCAAGUAAAAUCACUUGAUUUCAACAAUUGCCUAGUCAAGACAUGGUUUGAAGCAUGAACUCACAAUAUGACCGCAAAAGCAAAAUUAAACCAAAACAUAAAAGAACAAAGAUACUAUAUAUUACCUUUCAAUUUCCACAGAGGCCAACUCUCAUGGAAAAGGUCCCCAAGAAAAUGACAUUUAACCAUAGGGAUCCUUGUACUCCUUUGGGACUUAUUUUUAUCCCAUCUUCCCAUUUCCAAGAUCAGUAAUGAAUUUUGACAAGUUUCUGAAGUUCUAACUUAGGCUAAAGGUGGUAAGCCAGAUGAAGUUUAUGGCAUGUUAAGAUGUGUUAUCUCAUCUGUGUUUGGCGAUCCACUUUAUAUAGAGUAGAAUAGCAAGAAUGGAUAAGCACAAGAGCUUAAGCAAAAGAAGAUAAGACAGUACACGUCAAUUACCAUGGAAAAACUAAAAUUUUCAAAUUUAGAAGCUUUGCAUGUGCAAGACGUGUAAACCAUGCUAAAAAGUUGAAGCCACCGGUAAGUUACGCGUGAAACCAUUAUAAACUACACAUACACUCAACUUUAUCAUAAGAAGGCAAAUAUUCAAUACGUUGAGUUAAUUUCACUCAUUGUAACACUUAUACUGUUAAAGCACAAGAUCAAAAGACAAGAUAAGAACAUAAUGCUUACCAAUGAAAAAUCCAAAAAAAUAAUAAUAAUAAGAAUAAUAAUAAUAAAAUCAAGGCUUAUGCAUGCACUAAACAUGUAAAAUAUCAGAAAAAUUAAAACCAAUAUGAAUUAUAUGAGCAAUUAUCUGCUGUAUAAGAAGAAUGGAACAUCCCACUAAGUUUACGUAAACGCUGAUUACACUAACCAAAUAAAAAUGAAAGAGAUGUAAAUGAAAAUAGAUGACAUAUUAUAUGGAAAGAGUAUAUUUAAGGAAAAUGCAUGCACAAGAUAUUAUCCAAUAACUUACUUUCAAACGCCGAUUCACUACAAACAACUCCAUAGUUGGAAAAUGUCAAUCAAAAAAUAAAAUGAUUUUCACAACUUUUCCUGUGCACCCAUGUUGUUUUAUCUCAAGAAUCUUAGUAAUGUCAAAUAUUUGUAUAAUUACAUUUGAAUGAAUAGCAAUUAGCACUAGCAUGCAUAUCGUGAAAGAUAGGACUCAAAGCCAACAAAACUUGCAUAAUUUUGCAAAUUGUGAUUCGUACUUCACCCCUUCCUCCUCCACAAGUAACUACAUUAUUUGGCAUAUUCAAGUUAAGAAUGAUCUUUGUCUGUAACCUGCCUUAUUUCAACACCAAUAAUAACCGUGCUUUCAAGUUUCAUUCAAAAUUUCACAUUAACAUAACAACAAAAUCACAUAGUCCUCGAAACGGCACACACAAGCUACAGAGUAAGUACUCAACCCCUUAUCUAAUGUACAUAGCUUCAUCAUCAGCCAAGCUCAAGUUCACUACAGUGAAGCUCAUUUAAUCAACUUCAAGAGACCAAUAGCGUUGGUUUUGUUAUUGAAUACUCCACUAAGAUAGUCUUGUAAGCACAACACAAGAGCUAACUCAACCUUAGAAUCCCGGAAAUUAUUUAUAUUCCUCGAAUUCCAUUAGUUUCUUUGCCAAAUUGUUGCCAAAUUUGUAGCUUAAAGUUGACAGAAUUAGAGUAAUAAAUUGUGUUAGUUUUGAUGUUGUCGUUAGGUAUGCCGAGAAAAUAUGUACAGGUGAUGCAUAAUCCGGUAUAUAAAAUUAAAGCACGUAAGAUUGAAUCGAGUAUGAUUUUAACAAUUUUAUCAACCGAAUCGCUAUAAAAAUCAUUAACACUAAAAUCCAGAAAAUGAAGGCAAAAGAAAGAUAAAACGUCGCCGUAAAAUUAGUAGCAUGAAAACUGUGAUGUAUUUUUAAGCUUACCGGUCCGCAGAUCGCAGAUUUUUAGGCUUAAAAUGAAGCAUCCAUUCCAAUGCUGACUGCUGAGUUUGAACAGUGAUCGAUGAUUCAGUUGUUUUAAUAUUUCAGCUACGAUAAGAGAAGUUUUUAAAUCCCUCUGAAUUUCGUAUAAAUCCUCCUCUUUAAGUGAAAUUACCUAAAUAACCAUAGAUAAAUUCUUUUUUUAAAUCUUCAGGCCCGAAGCCUUUAAGGCUUUAAAUAAGCCCACGGACUUUGCACUAUCCAAAUAUUUUUAUUCUAUGGAGUAAAAGAAAAAGGGGGUGCGUGUAACGGAGGGGGAAAAAAAUUCAUUUAUUUUUGUUUCUUAAUAAGUGUAAUUUUGGAAAUAUAAUAAAUUAAGUAAAAAAAGACUAAAGAAAUAAACUGAGGGUCAAGUCAAAUAUCACUACUGAGAAUUUUAUGCUUUUGAAAGUUGCUCGUGAAAACAAAGACGGAGUCCUACCCACACGUACACGGUCUACACUCUAUACCUCAUACUCACGCGUUUGCUUUUAAUAUUUUAAUAAUUUCUCCAAUGAUAAAUCCAUUUUCUCUUUUACAUCUUGGAUACUUUAUUUGAAACCUUAUUUUAUUUGGAUCUAACCUUCCUUUUCCACAUUAAGACUUGCAUCUAAUCCAUUGGACUAUAACUUCAUUUACAGUACAAUUAGAAAUUUUAUUGGGAGUAGCUAAAAAAUAUACUUACAUUAAUAAUAUUGUAAAGAAAUCUACUAUUAGUUCUU